UACAGAGGGGGCAAGCGUUGUCCGGAAUUACUGGGCGUACAGCGCGCGCAGGCGGACCGCUACGUGCCGUGUGACAAGCCACUGCUCAACAGUGGAGGGCCAGGGCACACGAGCGGUCUGGAGGCAGGGAGAGGGAUGUGGAAUGCCCGGUGGAGCGGUGAAAUGCGCAGAUAUCAGGAGGAACACCGGUGGCGAAGGCGCUGCUCUGGGCCGGUACUGACGCUGAGGAGCGAAAGCGUGGGUAGCAAACAGG
rnacentral:rRNA from 1 species